GACGAACGCUGGCGGCGUGCCUAAUACAUGCAAGUAGAACGCUGAAGAGAGGAGCUUGCUCUUCUUGGAAGAGUUGCGAACGGGUGAGUAACGCGUAGGUAACCUGCCUUGUAGCGGGGGAUAACUAUUGGAAACGAUAGCUAAUACCGCAUAACAAUGGGUGACCCAUGUCAUUCAUUUGAAAGGGGCAACUGCUCCACUACAAGAUGGACCUGCGUUGUAUUAGCUAGUAGGUGAGGUAACGGCUCACCUAGGCGACGAUACAUAGCCGACCUGAGAGGGUGAUCGGCCACACUGGGACUGAGACACGGCCCAGACUCCUACGGGAGGCAGCAGUAGGGAAUCUUCGGCAAUGGGGGCAACCCUGACCGAGCAACGCCGCGUGAGUGAAGAAGGUUUUCGGAUCGUAAAGCUCUGUUGUAAGUCAAGAACGAGUGUGAGAGUGGAAAGUUCACACUGUGACGGUAGCUUACCAGAAAGGGACGGCUAACUACGUGCCAGCAGCCGCGGUAAUACGUAGGUCCCGAGCGUUGUCCGGACUUAUUGGGCGUAAAGCGAGCGCAGGCGGUUUGAUAAGUCUGAAGUUAAAGGCUGUGGCUCAACCAUAGUUCGCUUUGGAAACUGUCAAACUUGAGUGCAGAAGGGGAGAGUGGAAUUCCAUGUGUAGCGGUGAAAUGCGUAGAUAUAUGGAGGAACACCGGUGGCGAAAGCGGCUCUCUGGUCUGUAACUGACGCUGAGGCUCGAAAGCGUGGGGAGCGAACAGG
rnacentral:rRNA from 1 species